CAAGCGUGCUGACGUUCGCCUUUGCGUCGAGCCUUCGCCGGAAGCGCGCUUGUGUCGGUGUCUCUGGGCACCGGGGAGAGGGAAAGCACAGGUCAUCAUUUGGGAGGAGCUUAUAUUUAUAAUUCCACACAAGAUAAUGUAGAACAUCUUUUCCAUUUUGUACAGCACUGACACUGCCGAGACUAUGAGAACAUCAGUAACACAUGAUCCUUGUCUAGGAGAUCAGGGAGGACUUGCUGGAGGAGGCUGCAUCAAGCUCUAGGAAUAGAGAGAGAUCACAAGUAGGCAGAGAUGCAGGCAGAGAGAGAGGAGGAAGCAGGCUCCCAGGACCCUGGGAUCAUGACCUGAGCGGAAGGCAGAGGCUUUAACCCACUGACCCACCCAGAUUUUAUUUAUUUAUUUGACAGAGAUACAAUGAGAGACGGAACACCAAGCAGAGGGAGUGCAAGAGGGAGAAGCAGGCUUCCUGCUGAGCAGGGUGCCCAGUGCGAUUGUGGUGGGGCUUGAUCCCAGGACUCUGGGAUCACGACCUGAGCCGAAGGCAAAUGCUGAAUGACUGAGACACCCAGGCGUCCUCAGCAUUGUCAUUCUUGAAAUAUUUUUGAAGCUGUUUUUCAAGAAGAUUCUAGGAUACAGAAGAUCCAGGUCAACAUGGCCCUUGGGAGGCUGGUGACUGAGACCAGGGUGCUCAUGCCUGUGAACAUAUCCAUGGAUUGCUGCUUUAGGAGGAAGCCAAGAGCUCGUUUGUGGACAGUAUCCAGGAUGAAUCUGUGUAAAAUGCCAAUGAAAAUACUCCCAGUCAAAACAUGAGGUGUGUGGGUGAGCUGUGAACAAAGAAAACGUCAUCACACUGAGAGCUUGAAGUACCAGGCAAGAAAGAUGACCAAGAAGCAAAUGAAGCAUCCGACUGAACAAUGCCAAGGAGGGCUCAGAGACACAAUUUUUAAAAGGGAAAGUACUUGCAAAGGAAACAGAGAAAUCAGACUUCAGAAGGAUUGGCUCCCCAAAUAGAGGACCUAGUAAACAUUUGAUCACAUAAACAACAGAGUUAUCAAGGUUUGCAAGUUUAUACUAGUGUGUUAAUGCUGGCCAUGGUCAACUUCCUUACAUGACUAUAGUCAUAAAGACCAAGGCAUAUUCUCAGAUAUCAACAUAGCAAAAUCACCAGUAGAAUUGCUUUUGUUUGGAAACCAGGUUUACAGGAUAUUCAAUAUUUUAAUUGCUUGGUGGUCCAAGCCAGUUAGGGUGGCCUUGUUAUUUUUAUUUUAGAAGGCAAAGUACUUUACUUUUUUCCCAAUUGCUGUCUGUGAAAUGCUCAGUUCUGUUGGCAAUAGCAUAAUGUGUCAGUGUUGGCUUCUUGCAUCCCUCCUUUGGUCAAGUUCCUGCCAUUAAGAUGUAGAUUUGACGGAAGAGUUGGCUUGUAGUUGUUGUUUUUAAAUUCAGUAUCAUUAAUUGGUUGUUUUGUGUUAUUUGGUGCAAUUACAUAGGAGUUACUAGAGUUGUUGUUUUCAUAGAAAGUCCUUUUAAUGGUUAUCAAAACUAUAGUCUUAUAACAUAGAGGCCUCAAAGUACACUUUUUGAGGGCAUUUUUUGUUCAGUGCUUAGGGUUUAUGUUCAGAAGUAUUUUAUUGCCCUCAUCAGAUCUGUUGGGAUUGAGAACUGGGAAACUCCUUCACUCUACCAGGUCAAGCUGAAGUAACUAUGACAGUAAGGGUACCCAUGUUGGUCACGGCUCUUGACUUGCAAGGAAGUGAGACUCAAAAUAUGUGUAAGAGUGGGAUUUCAUAAGCCAUAGAGCAGACACCAGGCAAGUUUUCCUGGGAGACAUUUGUGGCUAUCUUUUCCACAUGUGAAUAGUCCUUAUGAGUGGGCAUUUGACACUGAAUUCCAGAAGAAUUAAACAUUUAAAUGUAUAAAAUCUUCUAGAAGUAGAAGACUAUCUUUUUUUAAUCUUUGUGUAAGUAAAAAUAAUUAAGACAUAAGAAGUUCUAAUCAGAAAGAUAGACACCUCUGACCUUAUUAAAAUUGAGAACUUCUGGGGCGCCUGGGUGGCUCAGUGGGUUAAAUCCGCUGCCUUCGGCUCGGGUCGUGAUCCCAGGGUCCUGUGAUCGAGCCCCACAUCGGGCUCUCUGCUCAGCGGGGAGCCUGCUUCUUCCUCUCUCUCUGCCUGCCUCUCUGCCUACUUGUGAUCUCUCUGUCAAAUAGAUAAAUAAAAUCUUUAAAAAAAAAAAAUUGAGAACUUCUGUUCAUCAGGAGACACCAAAAAGGAAGGGCAAAAACAAAUUACGAACUGGGAGAAGAUAUUUGCAAUGCCUGUAGCGGAGGAAGAUGGUAGUAUUCAGAUUAAUCCUAUAAAACAAACAGAAAAAGACAACCAAUGCAGGAACUGUCCAAACAGAGAUUUCACAGGGAGAAGAAAUACAAAACGUGAAUAAACAUGAAAAAUUACUCAACUUCUUUAGUAACGAAGGAAAUACAAAUCCAUUCUGUAAUGAUAUAGCACAUAAAACCCACUAAAGGAGCUAAAGUUAAGAAUCGUAUAAUCACAAAUCUCAAAAAUGAAUAGAAACUCUUAUACACUGCUGAUGGGGCGAUAAAUAUACCCACCCACUUUGGACACAAUUUGGUAAUAUAUUAGUAGUUGAACACUCACAUACACUAUAAUCCAGCAAUUCCACCAGUACACAUGACUUUUGCAUGUGUGCAUAGGGAGACUCCGUAAGGACAUCCAUGGCAAGAAUAAAAUAUCAUAUUUCUACCUUCCUUUCUGAAAACAUUGGAUAGAUGCAGACUGCUGAAGUCACCUAGAAGGUUCCUUCUGCAUAAUAACUCAGGGAAGUUCUUGAGAAUGAACAAAGAAGAUGUUCAUACAACUACCCAUUCUUUUUUUAUUCUGGAUAAUUUUAAAUAUCAUCCGACUGGCAAGUCACCUCCAAUAAAAUAUAAACUGAAAAUA